AGCGAACGUUAGCGGCGGGCCUAACACAUGCAAGUCGAGCGAGAAAGUGGCUUCGGCCAUCAGUAAAGCGGCGGACGGGUGAGUAACACGUAGGUAAUCUUCCCUUGAGCGGGGGACAACGUUUCGAAAGGAACGCUAAUACCGCAUACGUUUCUGGGGACUCCGGUCUCUGGAAGGAAAGCUAGGUCGCAAGGAUCCGGCACUCGAGGAGGAGCCUGCGUCGCAUCAGCUAGUUUGGNGGGGUAACGGCCUACCAAGGCGAAGACGCGUAGCUGGUCUGAGAGGAUGAUCAGCCACACUGGGACUGA
rnacentral:rRNA from 1 species